UACUGUUUUUUAUUGAACAUCUUCUGUGGGACAACAGAGGGAAACUAGCCUUUGGCUAAAAUCUGGAGUGUUUACAUUCAUGUGAAAACAUGUAUGUUUUGUUAAUGCUCACUGUCCCCUUCAAAUAAAUAUAAGAGAAUUAAAAUUACACUUAUUU